rnacentral:rRNA from 1 species
GACGAACGCUGGCGGCGUGCUUAACACAUGCAAGUCGAACGCUGAAGCUCAGCUUGCUGGGUGGAUGAGUGGCGAACGGGUGAGUAACACGUGAGUAACCUGCCCUCUUCUUUGGGAUAACGCCCGGAAACGGGUGCUAAUACUGGAUAUUCACUGAUUCUCGCAUGGGGGUUGGUGGAAAGGUUUUUUCUGGUGGGGGAUGGGCUCGCGGCCUAUCAGCUUGUUGGUGGGGUGAUGGCCUACCAAGGCUUUGACGGGUAGCCGGCCUGAGAGGGUGACCGGUCACAUUGGGACUGAGAUACGGCCCAGACUCCUACGGGAGGCAGCAGUGGGGAAUAUUGCACAAUGGGCGAAAGCCUGAUGCAGCGACGCAGCGUGAGGGAUGGAGGCCUUCGGGUUGUAAACCUCUUUCGCUCAUGGUCAAGCCGCAGCUUUGGGUUGUGGUGAGGGUAGUGGGUAAAGAAGCGCCGGCUAACUACGUG